rnacentral:rRNA from 1 species
GACGAACGCUGGCGGCGUGCUUAACACAUGCAAGUCGAACGGAAAGACCCUGCUUUUGUGGGGUGCUCGAGUGGCGAACGGGUGAGUAACACGUGAGUAACCUGCCCUUGAUUUUGGGAUAACUUCAGGAAACUGGGGCUAAUACCGGAUAGGAGCUCCUGCUGCAGGGUGGGGGUGGGAAAGUUUCGGCGGGCGGGGAUGGACUCGCGGCUUAUCGGCUUGUUGGUUGGGGAGGGGCUUACCAAGGCUGUGGAGGGUACGCGGCCGGUGAGGGUGGCCGGCCACCUUGGGCCUGAGAUACGGACCAGACUCCUACGGGAGGCAACAGUGGGGAAUAUUGCACAAUGGGCGGGAGCCUGAUGCAGCAACGCCGCGUGCGGGAUGACGGCCUUUGGGUUGUAAAACGCUUUCGCCUGUGACGAAGCGUGAGUGACGGUACUGGGUAAAGAAGCACCGGCUAACUACGUG